CACUGGCCUGAAAGUAGUGAAUUAUCUCAGUUGAUUAUUCACAGUCAGUUACAGAUCAAACUCCUUGUUCUAUUCUUUCCCUCCUUCUCACUACCGCACUUGACUAGUCUUUA
ensembl:misc_RNA Y_RNA Y RNA